UAGGUUAGGUUCACCGAUGUCCCCGAGGU
rnacentral:sRNA from 1 species